rnacentral:lncRNA from 1 species
GCAGAGGAGGUGGGCAGCGGCGGUGGAUGGCGAUUUCUAGCCCGGUGGCCGAGUGGCGGCAGACGAAGAGAAGCAGACAGAGGCGAUUGCGUCAGCAGCAGCGAGAAACUGGCGGCAACCUGGAAUGUUUUGCGAAUUCUUCGGAGAUUGGUGGCAGGGAUUUCUCCCCCGCUAGAUCUGAGAGAUGUGAAGAGCGAGAGAGGAAGAGUUCUUCAGUCAGUAAGACUACAAUGAAACAGAAAUAAAAAUCACAGGGCAUUUUUCAAAUCCGGACUCAGAGAGGCCGAAGAAGAAUAAGAUGAGAAUGGGCGGCGGAUUAGGGUUGGGAUUGGGGGCGGGAUUGUUGGAGGAUUGCUGGUGGGAGAUAUGGCGUCGGAUAUUGGGGAAUCGUCGGCCUAUGCUGAUGGCUAUGGUGAUGCCAUGGGCGACAUGGGCGGCUGGAGAAAGCGGAGGACGGCGCGGCUGGAUUCGCGAAAUGGGCGGCUGGAGGACGACCACAAAGUUUGAGAAGGAUUGGGAGAUUGGAUUUGAGAUAGAUUUGCAGAUAGGGAUGAAGAGAGAUUUGAGAAGGAUUUACAGAUCAAUUGAUAAUUUAAUUUUGUAACGGUGAUUGAGCAUGAGAUUUGCAUAUGAUGGAGAGAAAUUUGAGAAGGAUUUGCUCAUCUGAAAUUGUAACGGUAAUUGUUUAAAGUAUUUGCAAAACUUAAGAAUGGAGGUGUAAAAUAAAGAAUAGAGAAUUAGAUAAAUCAAAAUGGAGAUUUUUGAGAGCGCCACGUAGGACAGAGAAUUGCUGUGGGCUCUCCAAAAUGUAUUGCUUUAUAGAAUUGAUAGAUUUGAAAAUGAU